GGCAAAUUGCCCCCGUAACUUCGGGAGAAGGGGGGCCUCCGCUGGUGAUCAGACUUGCUUUGUGAGCUGGUGGGGGUCGCAGAGGCCAGGGGGAAGCGACUGUUUACUAAAAACACAGGUCCGUGCGAAGUCGUAAGACGAUGUAUACGGACUGACGCCUGCCCGGUGCUGGAACGUUAAGGGGACCGGUUAGCGGGACGUAAGUCCUGCGAGGCUGAGAACUUAAGCGCCAGUAAACGGCGGUGGUAACUAUAACCAUCCUAAGGUAGCGAAAUUCCUUGUCGGGUAAGUUCCGACCUGCACGAAUGGCGUAACGACUUCCCCGCUGUCUCAACCGCAGACCCGGCGAAAUUGCACUACGAGUAAAGAUGCUCGUUACGCGCAGCAGGACGGAAAGACCCCGGGACCUUCACUACAGCUUGACAUUGGCGUUUGGAACGUCUUGUGUAGGAUAGGUGGGAGACUGUGAAGCCGUCACGCUAGUGGUGGUGGAGUCAUUGGUGAAAUACCACUCUGGUCGUUUUGAACGUCUAACUUCGGUCCGUGAUCCGGAUCAGGGACAGUGUCUGGUGGGUAGUUUAACUGGGGCGGUUGCCUCCUAAAGAGUAACGGAGGCGCCCAAAGGUUCCCUCAGCCUGGUUGGUAAUCAGGUGUCGAGUGUAAGUGCACAAGGGAGCUUGACUGUGAGACCGACGGGUCGAGCAGGAGCGAAAGCUGGGACUAGUGAUCCGGCGGUGGCAUGUGGAAGCGCCGUCGCUCAACGGCUAAAAGGUACCCCGGGGAUAACAGGCUGAUCUUCCCCAAGAGUCCAUAUCGACGGGAUGGUUUGGCACCUCGAUGUCGGCUCGUCGCAUCCUGGGGCUGGAGUAGGUCCCAAGGGUUGGGCUGUUCGCCCAUUAAAGCGGUACGCGAGCUGGGUUUAGAACGUCGCGAGACAGUUCGGUCCCUAUCCGCUGCGCGCGCAGGAGACUUGAAAGGAGCUGUCCCUAGUACGAGAGGACCGGGACGGACGAACCCCUGGUGUGCCAGUUGUUCCGCCAGGAGCAUGGCUGGUUGGCUACGUUCGGAAGGGAUAACCGCUGAAAGCAUCUAAGCGGGAAGCUCGCCUUGAGAUGAGGUCUCCCACCACGUGAGUGGGUAAGGCCCCCGGGAGACGACCGGGUUGAUAGGCCGGAGGUGGAAGCACGGUAACGUGUGGAGCUGACCGGUACUAAUAGGCCGAGGACUUGACCG
rnacentral:rRNA from 1 species